rnacentral:rRNA from 1 species
CCUUGAGUCCCCUAAAGGGCCGGGAGAGACGAUCCCGUCGAUAGGCCGCACGUGGACACGUGGUAACACGUUCCGAGCGCAGCGGUCCUAAUCGCCCGUGCGGCUUGACUCA